rnacentral:rRNA from 1 species
GACGAACGCUGGCGGCGUGCUUAACACAUGCAAGUCGAAUGGAAAGUCCCUGCUUUUUUGCGGUGCUCGAGUGGCGAACGGGUGAGUAACACGUGAGUAACCUGCCCUUGACUUUGGGAUAACUUCAGGCAACUGGUGCUAAUACCGGAUAGGAGCUCCUGCUGCAUGGUGGGGGUUGGACAGUUUCGGCGGUUGGGGGUGGACUCGCGGCUUAUCAGCUUGUUGGGGGGGUAGUGGCUUACCAAGGCUUUGACGGGUAGCCGGCCUGAGAGGGUGACCGGCAACAUUGGGACUGAGAUACGGACAAGACUCCUACGGGAGGCAGCAGUGGGGAAUAUUGCACAAGGGGAGGAAGCCUGAGGCAGCAACGCCGAGUGCGGGAUGACGGCCUUCGGGUUGUAAACCGCUUUCGCUUGUGACGAAGCGGGAGUGACGGUAAUGGGUAAAGAAGCACCGGCUAACUACGUG